rnacentral:lncRNA from 1 species
CAUCCCAGCACUUUGGGAGUCCAAGGCGGCCAGAUCACGAGGUCAGGAGUUCGAGACCAGCCUGGCCAACCCAGUGAAACCCUGUCUCUAAUAAAAAUACAAAAAAUAAGCUGGGCGUGGUAACAGGUGCCUGUAAUCCUAGCUACUCAGGAGGCUGAGGCAGGAGAAUCACUUGAACCUGGGAGGCGGAGGUUGCAGUGAGCCGGGAUCUCAUCACUGUAUUCCAGCCCGGGGGACAGUGCAAGACUCCAUCUCAAAAAAUAAAUAAAUAAAAAUACAAAAUUAGCUGGGCGUGGUGGCGCACACCUGUAGUCCCAGCUACUUGGGGGGCUGAGGCAGAAGAAUCACUCGAACCCAGUAGGUGGAGGUUGCAGUGAGCGGAGAUCGUGCCACUGCUCUCCAGUCUGAACGACAACAGAACGAGACUCUGUUUCAAAAAAAUAAAAAAAAAAAAAAAGAAAAACCCUAGUGAUGUGUUCAAAAGCCUGACGCUAUGUGUAAGCACCCCAAAGGAAGGCUUGGUGGCUUCGUAUGCCCCUCCAUGCCUAGCACAAGGCAGGAGCCCAAUACAUGUUGGCCAAAUGAAUGGCAACACCCACAGUCCUUGCCAUGACCUAUAGGCCCCGUGUAAUCCAGCCCCCAGUGAUUCUUUGGCCUCAUCUCAAGCCCUCUCCCCUGUCACUUCUGUGUUCCACCCCAGUGGUCUCUUUCAGUUCAAGUCCAACCUGUUCUUCCCUCCUUCAUUCUCCCUUCCUCCCUACACACAAGCUGAUCCUUGGGCCUGGAAAGCUUCCUGCCUUUGCCUCAUCCACUGCUCACUUGCCCUGGAGACUCAUGUCAGUGGUACUGCCCCUAGGCAGCCCUCCAAGUGCCUCCAUGGGGGUAGCACCAGGUGUGCCGUAUCCUCCACACCUGGCAUGCAGUGGGCGGGCAACACGUGCUUGUGGAAUGGGGCAUCAAUGCAAGAAUGAGAGACAGCAGUUAAGGAUGGAACUUCAGAGUCUUGAUCCUCGGGACAGGUUCCAUCUUCCCUAUCCGACAUUCCUUCCUGGGCUUCUGGACUGUGCACAAACCACCUUCGUGAUUCACCUUUGUGAUUAUUUACUUCGUAUUUUUCUUUAAAUCAAUUCACUUUCUUAGCCUCCUUCUGAGCAAUAAUAAAAUCACAGUUGGAUGUGUUAAUUUAUAUUAACAAUUCAUGACUAUUGGUUUAAGAAUUGUUCCUCGGCCGGGCGUGUUGGCUCAUGCUUGCAAUCCCAGCACUUUGGGAGGCCAAGGCGGGCAGAUCACGAGGUCAGGAGGUCGAGACCAUCCUGGCUAACACGGUGAAACCCCAUCUCUACUAAAAAUACAAAAAAUUACCCGGUCGUGGUGGCGGGUGCCUCAGCCUACUCGGGAGGCUGAGGCAGGAGAAUGGCGUAAACCUGGGAGGCGAAGGUUGCAGUGAGCCAGGAUCGUGCUACAGCACUCCAGCCUGGGUGACAGAGUGAGACUCCGUCUCAAUAAAAAAAAAAAAGAAAAAAGAAAAAAA